AGAGCCUGACGCGAGGACCCGAGCGGGGUCGGGGCGUGUCGAGGGGCCGGGGCGCCGGGACGUGGCGCUCACCCGCGUCCCCGAGGUGCCGGUGCUCAGCCAGCCGCGGAGGGGAGGGGCAGUCCCCGGGGCUGAGCCAGGCCCGGGGCCGAGCGCGUCCAGGGCGGAGGGUGACGGGAAGCCGCCGGCGCCAGAGGACUCACUUUGGGGCCGCUUGUUUCGGAGCGUGGCACAAACCCGGGUGCCAACCCCGAGCUCAGCGGAAUUAUACCUGGGUGCUGGCACCCAGCCACUCCUCUGCCAAUGAAGUACAUCUUGGUCACUGGUGGGGUCAUCUCGGGCAUCGGUAAAGGGAUCAUUGCCAGCAGUAUUGGGACGAUUCUAAAAUCAUGUGGACUCCGAGUGACUGCCAUCAAAAUUGACCCCUAUAUAAACAUCGAUGCGGGCACUUUUUCACCUUAUGAGCACGGUGAAGUGUUUGUCUUAAACGAUGGUGGAGAAGUUGAUUUAGACCUUGGAAAUUAUGAAAGGUUCUUGGAUAUUAAUCUUUAUAAAGACAACAACAUCACUACUGGGAAGAUAUAUCAACAUGUGAUCAAUAAAGAGAGGCGUGGCGAUUACCUGGGGAAAACAGUACAAGUUGUCCCUCACAUUACUGAUGCUGUCCAGGAGUGGGUUAUGAAUCAAGCCAUGGUGCCUGUGGAUGGUCAUAAGGAAGAGCCCCAAAUAUGCGUUAUUGAGCUGGGUGGCACCAUUGGAGACAUUGAAGGAAUGCCGUUUGUGGAAGCGUUCAGACAAUUCCAGUUUAAAGCAAAAAGAGAGAAUUUCUGUAAUAUCCAUGUUAGCCUUGUCCCGCAGCCCAGUGCUACCGGAGAACAAAAAACCAAACCCACACAAAACAGUGUCCGUGCGCUGAGGGGAUUAGGCCUGUCUCCCGAUCUGAUUGUCUGCCGGAGUUCAACGCCCAUUGAAAUGGCUGUGAAGGAAAAGAUUUCUAUGUUUUGUCACGUGAACCCUGAACAGGUCAUAUGUAUCCAUGAUGUUUCUUCCACCUACCGAGUGCCUGUGCUUUUGGAGGAACAAGGCAUCGUUAAAUAUUUUAAAGAGAGAUUGGAUCUGCCCAUUGGGGAUUCUGCAAGUAGUUUGCUUUCCAAGUGGAGAAAUAUGGCUGACAGGUAUGAAAGGUUACAGAAAACAUGUUCCAUUGCCCUGGUUGGCAAAUACACCAAGCUCAGGGACUGCUAUGCCUCCGUGUUCAAAGCCCUGGAACACUCAGCCUUGGCCAUCAACCACAAGUUGAAUCUGAUGUACAUAGAUUCCAUUGAUCUGGAGCAGACUACUGAAACUGAGGACCCUGUGAAAUUCCAUGAAGCUUGGCAGAAGCUCUGCAAAGCUGAUGGUGUUCUUGUGCCAGGAGGCUUUGGAAUCAGAGGAACGUUGGGAAAACUCCAGGCAAUUUCUUGGGCACGGUCAAGGAAGAUUCCUUUUCUGGGAGUUUGCCUUGGGAUGCAGCUGGCGGUGAUAGAGUUUGCGAGAAACUGCCUUAACUUGAAAGAUGCUGAUUCCACAGAAUUUGAGCCAAAUGCCCAUAUUCCUGUGGUGAUUGAUAUGCCGGAGCACAACCCUGGCAAUUUGGGAGGAACGAUGAGGCUGGGAAUAAGAAGAACUGUUUUCAAAACUGAAAAUUCAAUAUUAAGUCAAAAGCUCAAAUGGGAUGUGAGGCAUUGGGUCUUUCUUGGUUGAAACAUCCUGUUCCGUGGCCUGAUGACAUCUUGGAGAGUCUGGUAACCCCCUUCCUGUGGAGUGGAGACCUGCUCCUGAUUCUGCUGGGGUUAGGCUGCGCGUUCCAGCACCAUCACGGGGUCUUCCUGUCCCCUGGCUGUGAGCCUGGGCUCUGCAUGCUGAGGGCUAGUGCUGCUACAGCGGCUCCGGUGCUGUGACCCACUUGGCCAUCCUGCCUCUCCAUGUGCCCACUGGGGCUUGUUCUUGAGAGAGACGUGUCUGGUGACAGACCCUGCUCCUGGCUACUUUACACUGGGUCACUGGGCCUCCCACUGACCCCUGUGUCCAUCCCAGACGGAUAUUCCCAAGUUGCUGCCUUGGACUGUGGCCUCCACUGCAACAUAGGCCUGUCUAAGUAGGCCCAUGUGUGAUUCUGCACUACACACCCCUGGGUGACAACUGUGCAUGGCACUGUGCCCUCAUUCAUGCCAGCAGCCCUCUGUUCCUGAGGUGACACUGCUUCCCGAUUGUCCCCUGCUAAGAAAGCAGCAGGUCACAUCCUCGUGGUUACCUCUGUGUCCUCGUUUCUGUUUUCUGGGGUAAAUUCUUAGAGGUCAAAUUUUAGUCAAAGUGUAGGCAUAUUUUUAAAGUGGGAUGUAAACCAGUGUGGCCAGUACCAUGUGAAAGCAGAGGUGGCUGGCAUAGUGGAGAAAGCAUUGGGCCAGGAGUAAGGAGGUCUGGGCUCCAGACAGGACUAUGCAGCCAGCGGGCCUGGGCUUUGGGCAAGUCCUUUGGUUUCUUUUCCCUUCCCCUUGUUUCAUUUUCUUCUUUUGUAAAAGGAGCCCUGUUAACGAAUCUGCUCAGGCACUAUGGUGCAGACGUCACUGGGGCUUUCGGCCCUGCAGGCAGGCGUGUGAAAGGAGAGUCUUCGCUGCGGUCCAUGGGAAACUUUAUGGUGAUGUACCUUUCAUAGAAGAAAGACACAGACAUCGAUAUGAGGUGAAUCCUAGCCUAAUCAGCCAACUUGAGCAGAAAGACUUAAGUUUUGUAGGUCAGGAUGUUGAUGGAGAGAGGAUG